rnacentral:rRNA from 1 species
AUUGAACGCUGGCGGCAGGCCUAACACAUGCAAGUCGAGCGGAUGAAGGGAGCUUGCUCCUGGAUUCAGCGGCGGACGGGUGAGUAAUGCCUAGGAAUCUGCCUGUUAGUGGGGGAUAACGUCCGGAAACGGGCGCUAAUACCGCAUACGUCCUGAGGGAGAAAGUGGGGGAUCUUCGGACCUCACGCUAUCAGAUGAGCCUAGGUCGGUGUAGCUAGUUGGUGGGGUAAAGGCCUACCAAGGCGACGAUCCGUAACUGAUCUGAGAGGAUGAUCAGUCACACUUGAACGUAGACGCGGUCCUGAGUCCUGCGGGAAGCAGCAGUGGGGAAUAUUGGACAAUGGGCGAAAGUCUGUGCCAACCAUGCCGAGUGUGUGAAGAAGGUCUCCGGAUUGUAAAGCACUUUAAGUUGGGGGGAAGGGCUGUAAGUUAAUACCUUGCUGGUUUGACGUUACCAACAGAAUAAGCACCGGCUAACUUCGUG